rnacentral:rRNA from 1 species
GCAGCCGCUGUGAUACGUAGGUGGCGAGCGUUACCUGAAUUACUGGGCGUAAAGCGCGCGUAAGCGGUUUUUCAAGUCUGAUGUGAAAGCCCACGGCUCUACCGUGGAGAGUCAUUGGAAACUUGAAAACUUGAGUGCAGAAGAGGAAAGUGGAAAUCCCAUGUGUAGCGGUGAAAUGCGCAGAGAUAUGGUGGAACACCAGUGGCGAAGGCGACUUUCUGGUCCGUAACUGACGCUGAUGUGCGAAAGUGUGGGGAUCAAACAGGACUAGAUACCCUGGUAGUCCACGCCGUAAACGAUGAGUGCUAAGUGUUAGGGGAAUUCCCCCCCUUAGUGCUGCAGCUAAAGUAUUAAGCACUCCGCCUGGGGAGUACGACCGCAAGGUUGAAACUCAAAGGAAUUGACGGGGACCCGCACAAGCGGUGGAGCAUGCGGUUUAAUUCGAAGCAACGUGCCGAACCUUACCAAAUCUUGACAUCCUUUGACAACUCUAGAGAUGGAGCCUUCUUCUUCGGGGGACAAAGUGACAGGUGGUGCAUGGUUGUCGUCAGCUCGUGUUGUGAGAUGUUGGGUUAAGUCCCGCAACGAGCGCAACCCUUUAGCUUAGUUGCCAUCAAUAAGUUGGGCACUCUAAGUUGACUGCCGGUGACAAACCGGAGGAAGGUGGGGAUGACGUCAAAUCAUCAUGCCCCUUAUGAUUUGGGUUACAUACGUGCUACAAUGGACAAUACAUUGGAAAGCGAAACCGCGAGGUCAAGCAAAUCCCAUAAAGUUGUUCUCAGUUCGGAUUGUAGUCUGCAACUCGACUACAUGAAGCUGGAAUCGCUAGUAAUCGUAGAUCAGCAUGCUACGGUGAAUACGUUCCCGGGUCUUGUACACACCGCCCGUCACACCACGAGAGUUUGUAACACCCGAAGCCGGUGGAGUAACCUUUUAGGAACUACGUCAUCGAAGGUGGGA